AGUGAACGCUGGCGGUAGGCCUAACACAUGCCAGUCGAACGGCAGCACAGUAAGAGCUUGCUCUUACGGGUGGCGAGUGGCGGACGGGUGAGGAAUACAUCGGAAUCUACUUUUUCGUGGGGGAUAACGUAGGGAAACUUACGCUACUACCGCAUACGACCUACGGGUGAAAGCAGGGGAUCUUCGGACCUUGCGCGAUUGAAUGAGCCGAUGUCGGAUUAGCUAGUUGGCGGGGUAAAGGCCCACCAAGGCGACGAUCCGUAGCUGGUCUGAGAGGAUGAUCAGCCACACUGGAACUGAGACACGGUCCAGACUCCUACGGGAGGCAGCAGUGGGGAAUAUUGGACAAUGGGCGCAAGCCUGAUCCAGCCAUGCCGCGUGGGUGAAGAAGGCCUUCGGGUUGUAAAGCCCUUUUGUUGGGAAAGAAAAGCAGCAGGUUAAUACCCCGCUGUUCUGACGGUACCCAAAGAAUAAGCACCGGCUAACUUCGUG
rnacentral:rRNA from 1 species